CAACUUUUAACAACGGAUCUCUUGGCUUUUGCAUCGAUGAAGAACGUAGCAAAUUGCGAUAACUAGUGUGAAUUGCAAAUUCAGUGAAUCAUCGAGUCUUUGAACGCAUCUU
rnacentral:rRNA from 3 species